UUAGGAAUAUUGUUAAGGCCGUCACGG
rnacentral:sRNA from 1 species